GGAUUGAACGCUGGCGGCAGGCCUAACACAUGCAAGUCGAGCGGCAGCACGGGUACUUGUACCUGGUGGCGAGCGGCGGACGGGUGAGUAAUGCCUAGGAAUCUGCCUGAUAGGUGGGGGAUAACGUUCGGAAACGGACGCUAAUACCGCAUACGUCCUACGGGAGAAAGUGGGGGAUCUUCGGACCUCACGCUAUCAGAUGAGCCUAGGUCGGAUUAGCUAGUUGGUAGG
rnacentral:rRNA from 1 species